GGAACAGCCAUUAUCUCUGACAACUCAAACUCUCACUCCCUUGUAUUCAUCACAUCUGAUCUUUGUUGGAUCACUGCUCAGAUGAGCUCUAAGGAAAUAUCUGUGCAUUCCUGUGUAAUGAAGACUGGUUCUUCCACCCUGAAAGAUGUCCACACCAGUCCUUCACCAAGAGGAACUCUUGAUGUAACUGGAAGAAGUUUAGAAAUUUCUCCCAAGACUUCAUUCUCAGCUGCUAGGAGGAAAACACUCAACGCAAGGAAACCUCAGCUCCAGG